GACGAACGCUGGCGGCGUGCUUAACACAUGCAAGUCGAACGGUGAACUCCGCUUGCGGGGGGAUCAGUGGCGAACGGGUGGGUAACACGUGGGCAACCUGCCCUCAGCUCUGGGAUAACUCCAAGAAAUUGGGGCUAAUACUGGAUAUGACUGCUGACCGCAUGGUCUGGUGGUGGAAAGAUUUAUCGGCUGGGGAUGGGCCCGCGGCCUAUCAGCUUGUUGGUGGGGUAGUGGCCUACCAAGGCGACGACGGGUAGCCGGCCUGAGAGGGUGACCGGCCACACUGGGACUGAGACACGGCCCAGACUCCUACGGGAGGCAGCAGUGGGGAAUAUUGCGCAAUGGGCGGAAGCCUGACGCAGCGACGCCGCGUGGGGGAUGACGGCCUUCGGGUUGUAAACCUCUUUCACCCAUGACGAAGCGUAAGUGACGGUAGUGGGAGAAGAAGCACCGGCCAACUACGUGCCAGCAGCCGCGGUAAUACGUAGGGUGCAAGCGUUGUCCGGAAUUAUUGGGCGUAAAGAGCUCGUAGGCGGUUUGUUGCGUCGGCUGUGAAAACCUGAGGCUCAACCUCAGGCCUGCAGUCGAUACGAGCAGACUAGAGUGUUGCAGGGGAGACUGGAAUUCCUGGUGUAGCGGUGAAAUGCGCAGAUAUCAGGAGGAACACCGGUGGCGAAGGCGGGUCUCUGGGCAGCAACUGACGCUGAGGAGCGAAAGCGUGGGGAGCGAACAGGAUUAGAUACCCUGGUAGUCCACGCCGUAAACGUUGGGCGCUAGGUGUGGGGCUCAUUCCACGAGUUCCGUGCCGCAGCUAACGCAUUAAGCGCCCCGCCUGGGGAGUACGGCCGCAGGGCUAAAACUCAAAGGAAUUGACGGGGGCCCGCACAAGCGGCGGAGCAUGUUGCUUAAUUCGAUGCAACGCGAAGAACCUUACCUAGGCUUGACAUGCACGGAAAUCCUCCAGAGAUGGUGGGUCCGCAAGGGUCGUGCACAGGUGGUGCAUGGUUGUCGUCAGCUCGUGUCGUGAGAUGUUGGGUUAAGUCCCGCAACGAGCGCAACCCUCGUUCUAUGUUGCCAGCACGUGAUGGUGGGGACUCAUAGGAGACUGCCGGGGUCAACUCGGAGGAAGGUGGGGAUGACGUCAAAUCAUCAUGCCCCUUAUGUCUAGGGCUGCAAACAUGCUACAAUGGCCGGUACAAAGGGCUGCGAUACCGUGAGGUGGAGCGAAUCCCAAAAAGCCGGUCUCAGUUCGGAUUGGGGUCUGCAACUCGACCCCAUGAAGUUGGAGUCGCUAGUAAUCGCAGAUCAGCAACGCUGCGGUGAAAACGUUCCCGGGCCU
rnacentral:rRNA from 1 species